rnacentral:lncRNA from 1 species
CUUUGGAUAAAUAAUUGAGUCAUUAAAAUUUACAAGCAGCGGAAAAAGUUUCUCAAAUACAUACAUCCAAAGUAUUUAAACAACAACCAGAAGAUACAAGGAACCCAUUCAACUAAGGUGUCGUACUGACAAUAAUAGUAACAGUACAGUCUUCCGGUUAAAAAUAAACGCAACCCCAAAAGAAAGACAUCCGUUCCCUCUGUGACAACCUAGUCUGAUCAUUUUACAAAACAACUAAACACCCUGAGUGAUCUCCACGCGCCCCGUGAGAUCCUCCUAACGUAGCUGCAGUCAAGCGUUCCCAUCU